UACGGAGGGCGCAAGCGUUAUCCGGAUUCACUGGGUUUAAAGGGUGCGUAGGCGGCUUAAUAAGUCAUUGGUGAAAGCUCGCAGCUCAACUGCGAAACUGCCAUUGAAACUGUUUAGCUUGAAUGUGGUUGAAGUGGGCGGAAUACAACAUGUAGCGGUGAAAUGCUUAGAUAUGUUUUAGAACACCGAUUGCGAAGGCAGCUCACUAAGCCAAUAUUGACGCUGAGGCACGAAAGCGUGGGGAUCAAACAGG
rnacentral:rRNA from 1 species